rnacentral:rRNA from 1 species
CCCACCCAAGGCAGUAUACUCAACCCACUGCCCGCCAGAGAACUACAAGUGAAAAACUUAAAACUCAAAAGACUUGACGGCGUUCCACCCACACUAGAGGAGCCUGUCCUACAAUCGAUAACCCACGUUCCACCCAACCUGUCCUUGCACCAUAAAUCAGCCUAUAUACCGCCGUCUUCAGCCCGCCUUGCAAAAGAACAACCAGCGGACUAAACCGCCACUACACAAAUACGUCAGGUCAAGGUGUAGCCAACGGACAGGAAGAGAUGGGCUACAUUUUCUGACCCCAGAAAUAACCUACAACACCAUGAAAUACGUGCGAAAAAGGUGGAUUUAGUAGUAAAUCGCGCAAGACUGCCCAAUUGAACUCAG